rnacentral:rRNA from 1 species
CGUGAGGAACCUGCCUUUCAGAGGGGGACGAAAGCUGGAAACGGCUGCUAAUACCGCAUGACGCAUUCGGAUGGCAUCAUCUGAAUGCCAAAGAUUUAUCGCUGAAAGAUGGCCUCGCGUCUGAUUAGAUAGUUGGCGGGGUAACGGCCCACCAAGUCGACGAUCAGUAGCCGGACUGAGAGGUUGACCGGCCACAUUGGGACUGAGAUACGGCCCAG